rnacentral:rRNA from 1 species
UACGGAGGGAGCUAGCGUUGUUCGGAAUUACUGGGCGUAAAGCGCGCGUAGGCGGCUUUGUAAGUUAGAGGUGAAAGCCCGGAGCUCAACUCCGGAACUGCCUUUAAAACUGCAUCGCUUGAAUCCAGGAGAGGUGAGUGGAAUUCCGAGUGUAGAGGUGAAAUGCGCAGAUAUCAGGAAGAACACCCGUGGCGAAGGCGGCUUUCUGGGACGGUACUGACGCUGAGACGCGAAAGCGUGGGGAGCGAACAGG